CUGCCGGUAAUAACCGGAGGAAGGUGGGAUGACGUCAAAUCAUCAUGCCCUUAUGACCUGGGCUACACACGUGCUACAAUGGUUGGUACAACGAGUUGCGAGUCGGUGACGGCGAGCUAAUCUCUUAAAGCCAAUCUCAGUUCGGAUUGUAGGCUGCCAACUCGCCUACAUGAAGUCGGAAUCGCUAGUAAUCGCGGAUCAGCACGCCGCGGUGAAUACGUUCCCGGGCCUU
rnacentral:rRNA from 1 species